UACGGAGGGUGCGAGCGUUGUUCGGAAUCACUGGGCGUAAAGGGCGUGUAGGCGGUCCGCUAAGUCUGAUGUGAAAGCCCGGGGCUCAACUGGGGAGGGUCACGCGAUACUGGUCGACUCGAAGGCAGGAGAGGGUAGUGGAAUUCCCGGUGUAGUGGUGAAAUGCGUAGAUAUCGGGAGGAACACCAGUGGCGAAGGCGACUACCUGGCCUGUUCUUGACGCUGAGGCGCGAAAGCUAGGGGAGCAAACGGG
rnacentral:rRNA from 1 species